GAACGGCAGCGCGGGAGCAAUCCUGGCGGCGAGUGGCGAACGGGUGAGUAAUAUAUCGGAACGUGCCCAUUAGUGGGGGAUAGCCCGGCGAAAGCCGGAUUAAUACCGCAUACGACCUGAGGGUGAAAGCGGGGGAUCGCAAGACCUCGCGCUAUUGGAGCGGCCGAUAUCAGAUUAGCUAGUUGGUGGGGUAAAAGCCUACCAAGGCAACGAUCUGUAGUUGGUCUGAGAGGACGACCAGCCACACUGGGACUGAGACACGGCCCAGACUCCUACGGGAGGCAGCAGUGGGGAAUUUUGGACAAUGGGCGCAAGCCUGAUCCAGCAAUGCCGCGUGCAGGAAGAAGGCCUUCGGGUUGUAAACUGCUUUUGUCAGGGAAGAAAUCCUUUGGGUUAAUACCUCGAAGGGAUGACGGUACACUGAAGAAUAAGCACCGGCUAACUACGUG
rnacentral:rRNA from 1 species